GCUGGAAGGGGAAAGCCUGGGAAAGGGCAAGCGGAGAGCUGGUGCUGCCUGCUCCUGCUUAGAUCCCUCUCCGCUCUGAUCUGGCCUGAAGUAUUAACGACCAUCUCUCCUUUCAAAUGGUCUUGAUCAACUACAGGUAUGGAAUGAGAGGCUAAAAAAAAUAUGAAAGUAAAUAGAAAUGGAUAUUCCAGUGGCCAAAUCCUUACCUUACCAUAAAGGGCUGACACACCAUGGCAAAGGCGGCAGUCUCAAUCACCUAUGCAGUGAAGUUGGAUGCUCCAAGGAACUAAUGAAAAAGUGGGGCUAAACCAUUGGUUCAACUGCCUGUGACUGCAGCGCAGAGCCUCAGACUAUGCAAUACCUGCUGCAAUCCCCACUGUUUGAAGGCACAUGUACAAUGAAAGAUCUCACAAAGUACAAUAAAUGAGCACACAAGAAUGCAUAACAAAAUGGUCAAAUGUGGUGUAGAAACAUGAGAAGAAGAAGAAGAAUGGUCUAGAUAUUUCACCAAGCCAGCUAACCUUCUUCUGCAAUUUUGCUAUCUAGUAGCUGUUCCUCUUAAUGUAGCUUCUAUUUCACAGGCCUGCAGACUAUUUUUUACUCUAUCUAAAAGCAUUAACUCAGGUGUGGAAAGCAUUGGAUGCACUGUCAAAAUACUGAAGAAGGCUAGAUUUGGUUUAUGAAUCUUCAAAUAUUCUUGUAACUGUAGUUCUAUCUAGCCCACAUUUCCCAAUGCUGCAUAGGCAGUACUGCAUGAAACCCAGCAUACUUUUGUAGGUUCUAGUUCAACAAACAUCAGGAAAUAUGUCAGAACCUAAGGUUUUAUCCAUGUUGGGAACUGGGGACACAUGGGUUAGAAAUUUAAUCUAAACUGAGAGAACAUAUUCAAGAAGAGUAUACAUUUAGUGACCAUGUUCAUUUUGUUCUUAAAAUUACAAAAGUUUUUUUUCAGUUUAGCAUUUUUAUGUUAUAUAUGAAUAUUCAUUAGGCACUUGAAUAUGACUACAUCUUAUUUCUCUUUCCUCCCCAAGCCAUUUUCAGAUGGUAACAAUGCUUUGCUGCUAUUUACUUUAUUAGGUCUAAAAUCAAUACCAUGGUUGCAAAAAACAUUUUUCUAUUAUUAAUUUGUUACUUUUCUCUCACAUUAUUUUAACAUGAGGCCUGAGUAUGUGGUUCACAGGCCACAAUCUACAGAAUACAUGUCUUCCAAAAUCUGCUUUGUGAACAGAACUUAAUUUGGCAUCUAAUCUAUUGAAGUGAAUGAAUAUUCUAAGGUAGCGAUCUGACUGUUCCCAUCUACUUCCAUGAGUAGAUCAGAGCCUCAACCAACACUUUGUAAGAUUAAAAAAAUAUUUUAAUUAUGUUUUUGUAUGUAUUUCCCAGUUAUUCUUUGCUGAGAGGUCUUUAUUAUCAUUUUAGACUCCACACUGCUGCUCAGGGAAAUUGGGUUCUGUGUUCCAUUAAAAAAAAUUGUCCCAUGUUGGAGUAAAAUUAUAUUUCCUGUCGAUUAAACAGUUUAGUUCCUUUGAAUCCUAUAAUCAAUUUUUUGGAGCCAGAAAGAACCAUUGGGCACUUUUAUGCGUGCUCUGGGGGGUGGAGGAGGCAACGCUUUAAUUAGAGUGGCUUGGAGAGCUGCUGUAAUUAAAGCACUGCAGCACCUCAUGUAUCAGUGUCCCCACACUUAAAGUGGUAAUGGGAGUGCUUAAACUAAAGCUUAUUCAACAAGCUUUAGUCCAAGUGCCCCCACAACCAUUUUUAAGCAUGGGGAUGCUGAUACAUGAGAGCCAGGAGGCUACUGGAGUGUGGUAAUUACUAUGCUGUAGCAGAUUUGAUUGAUCAAGUCUGCCCUGACAUACUGUAACUACAGCGCAUUGGAGCAGGCUCCAUGCUCGUGUACAGGCACCCGUCAUGUCUAUCUAGUUUGAUCAUCUAACUUUUAUAACAAUGGACCAAGAAUGUCCUCAAAUCUUCCUGCAUCUAACCCAGUUACCUGUGGUUGAAAAAGUUUUCAGAGGUCAUCUGUAGCAGCCUCCAAUUUACAGAAGCCUCUAGAUACAGUCAGUAUUGCAAAGAUAAUUAGCUCAGAAGAAGACAACUGAUUUAUGGAUUUGAAAUUCAAAAUCCAUGUAACAGACUUGCUAUAGAAAGCCCAAACCACAAUAAUAUAUAGGGAUUUCAGUUCAAUUCACUUAAAAAUGAAGUAAUUGGAUUCUAACUUCCGAGGUCUUCUUUUGCAUGAAAAAUGAAAAUAAGAGCCAUGUUUUUGCUAAUCUCAUUGAAAAGUUGUAAUUUAGAACUCUUCCAAUUAUAGGUAAAAGCCCAUUAUUUGGAUUAAAUUACAUUUAUAAAAGAUGGGUACAUUAAAAAAAAAGAGUUAUUCCUUC